CCAUAGAAGUCAUCCCACAGUGCC
rnacentral:miRNA from 1 species